rnacentral:rRNA from 1 species
UACGUAGGGCGCAAGCGUUGUCCGGAAUUAUUGGGCGUAAAGAGCUCGUAGGCGGUUUGUCGCGUCUGUCGUGAAAGCUUGGGGCUUAACCCCAAGUCUGCGGUGGAUACGGGCAGACUAGAGGCAGGUAGGGGAGAACGGAAUUCCCGGUGUAGCGGUGAAAUGCGUAGAGAUCCGGAGGAACGCCUGAAGCGAAAGCGGCUACCUGGUCCUGUCCUGACACUGAGGUGCGAAAGCGUGGGGAGCGAACCGG